UACUAAGGGGGCUAGCGUUGCUCGGAAUCACUGGGCGUAAAGCGCACGUAGGCGGAUCUUUAAGUCAGGGGUGAAAUCCUGGAGCUCAACUCCAGAACUGCCUUUGAUACUGGGGACCUCGAGUCCGGGAGAGGUGAGUGGAACUCCGAGUGUAGAGGUGAAAUUCGUAGAUAUUCGGAAGAACACCAGUGGCGAAGGCGGCUCACUGGCCCGGUACUGACGCUGAGGUGCGAAAGCGUGGGGAGCAAACAGG
rnacentral:rRNA from 1 species